rnacentral:rRNA from 1 species
GUAGGUGGCAAGCGUUGUCCGGAAUUAUUGGGCGUAAAGCGCGCGCAGGCGGUUCUUUAAGUCUGAUGUGAAAGCCCACGGGCUCAACCGUGGAGGGUCAUUGGAAACUGGAGAACUUGAGUACAGAAGAGGAAAGCGGAAUUCCACGUGUAGCGGUGAAAUGCGUAGAGAUGUGGAGGAACACCAGUGGCGAAGGCGGCUUUCUGGUCUGUAACUGUCGCUGAGGCGCGAAAGCGUGGGGAGCAAACAGGAUUAGAUACCCUGGUAGUCCACGCCGUAAACGAUGAGUGCUAAGUGUUAGGGGGUUUCCGCCCCUUAGUGCUGCAGCUAACGCAUUAAGCACUCCGCCUGGGGAGUACGGCCGCAAAGGCUG